AUUUAUAUAGAUCAUGUAUUAGAUCGUAACACUGAAGAUGUUGAAGAGAUUAUUUUAAUCUGUAAAUA
rnacentral:tRNA from 1 species